rnacentral:rRNA from 1 species
AGCGAACGCUGGCGGCGUGCUUAACACAUGCAAGUCGAACGGAGCUUUCUGUAGCAAUACAGGAAGUCACGUGGCGGACGGGUGCGUAACACGUGGGCAACCUGCCCGGGAAUGGGGAAUAACCCGCCGAAAGGCGGGCUAAUACCGCAUAACAUCCUAGUUGCUUCGGCGAUAGGGAUCAAAGCCCGCAAGGGCGUUACCGGAGGGGCCCGCGCCCGAUUAGCUAGUUGGUAGGGUAACGGCCUACCAAGGCUUAGAUCGGUAGCCGGUCUGAGAGGACGAUCCGCCACACUGGAACUGAGACACGGUCCAGACUCCUACGGGAGGCAGCAGUGGGGAAUCUUGCGCAAUGGGCGAAAGCCUGACGCAGCGACGCCGCGUGAGGGAUGAAGCUUCUCGGAGUGUAAACCUCUUUCGACCCGGACGAAUGCCCGCAAGGGCUUGACGGUACGGGGAGAAGAAGCCCCGGCUAACUACGUGCCAGCAGCCGCGGUAAAACGUAGGGGGCCAGCGUUGCUCGGAAUUACGU